rnacentral:tRNA from 1 species
CCUGCUUAGCUCAGAGGUCARAGCACCGCACUUGUAAUGCGAUGGUCAUCGGUUCGACUCCG